GUGUCAGCCGCCGCGGUAAUACGUAGGGUGCGAGCGUUAAUCGGAAUUACUGGGCGUAAAGCGUGCGCAGGCGGUUUCGUAAGACAGACGUGAAAUCCCCGGGCUCAACCUGGGAACUGCGUUUGUGACUGCGAGGCUAGAGUACGGCAGAGGGGGGUAGAAUUCCACGUGUAGCAGUGAAAUGCGUAGAGAUGUGGAGGAAUACCGAUGGCGAAGGCAGCCCCCUGGGUUAGUACUGACGCUCAUGCACGAAAGCGUGGGGAGCAAACAGGAUUAGAUACCCGAGUAGUCC
rnacentral:rRNA from 1 species